GUCCAUGCCGUAAACGUUGGGCACUAGGUGUGGGGGACAUUCCACGUUUUCCGCGCCGUAGCUAACGCAUUAAGUGCCCCGCCUUGGGAGUACGGCCGCAAGGCUAAAACUCAAAGGAAUUGACGGGGGCCCGCACAAGCGGCGGAGCAUGCGGAUUAAUUCGAUGCAACGCGAAGAACCUUACCAAGGCUUGACAUGUACUGGAAACGGCUAGAGAUAGUCGCCCCGCUUGCGGUCAGUAUACAGGUGGUGCAUGGUUGUCGU
rnacentral:rRNA from 1 species